GCACCACGCGGCCCUUUCGGCAGCCGAGGCGGCAGCGGUGUGAGAGUUCCGUCCUCUCUCUCCUCCCCAACGCGGCUCGGGCCUGGCCCGGGGCCUCCUCCCGGCCAUGCUGGGGCGAGGGGGCGCCGCGGCGGGACCCCCCCGUGCAGGGGAGAGGAGGAGGAGGAUGAAGAAGAAGAAGAAGAUGAUGAUGAUGAAGGCGGGACUGGAGGCGCGUGCUGGCAGAAGACAAAAGGUGAGCUGAAAAAAAGAUCACGACUUGAGAAAUCAAGGUGAAAGCUGUGCGAUGCGGCAGCCCCAGGAGAUCUCAAAAGACCCGAGUUACUUUUGAGAACAGAACUGAGUUCUGGAACCUACUUUGCGUGUUAAAGAUCAUGCCUUGAGGUUUAGAAUUUCUGGCAAGCGUGGCUACAGAAAUGGUUGGCGGUGUCUGCAUUUGAAGAUGUGUAGAUUCUUAAAACUCCCAUCUUUUUUCAUGCGUGGGUUUGAGCACACUACAGCCUUUAAACCUUGUCAUUCUGAAUGUUUGCUCCAACCUGUGUUGCUGAGGUUAAAAUUACAGCUGUUCUCUCCCCAGAGUCCUUUCUGGUUUGCUGUACUCUGUUGGAUAAUGGUAAGAGUUGUGAUCUCGCCCUUCUUCCAGUCGUCUCAGCUCGUGCACUGUUUUCACAGCCAGAUUCUAAAGUGCUGCUGCUCCAGUCUGUGUUUUCUCUACAUGGUUAAGGAUUUUUAAAAAAAACAACCUAAAUAAAGAUGCCACCCACAAGAAGUCUGAAAUUAUUGUGC